rnacentral:rRNA from 1 species
CCUACGGGCGGCAGCAGUGAGGAAUAUUGGUCAAUGGGCGAGAGUCUGAACCAGCCAAGCCGCGUGCAGGAUGACGGAUCUAUGGUUUGUAAACUUCUUUUAUACGGGAAUAAAGUGAGGUACGCGUUCCUUUCUGUAUGUAUCAUACGAAUAAGCAUCGGCUAACUCCGUGCCAGCAGCCGCGGUAAUACGGAGGAUGCGAGCGUUAUCCGGAUUUAUUGGGUUUAAAGGGUGCGUAGGCGGUUGAUUAAGUCAGCGGUGAAAGUUUGUGGCUCAACCUUAGAAUUGCCGUUGAAACUGGUUGGCUAGAGAGUAGUUGAGGUAGGCGGAAUGCAUGGUGUAGCGGUGAAAUGCAUAGAGAUCACACAGAACUCCGAUUGCGAAGGCAGCUUACUAAGCUAUUACUGACGCUGAGGCACGAAAGCGUGGGGAUCAAACAGGAUUAGAUACCCCUGUAGUC